GGGUCAGUAGGUUGGACAUGCCACAGGUAUGUACUGGUCUCACUGAUUCCUCCUUCCUGAUGAACUGUAAUGCCAUUAAUUCGGUGUUGCAGGGAACCUGGACUGUUACUUUGAAAAAAUUAGAGUGUUUAAAGCAGGCAUUAGCUUGAAUACAUUAGCAUGGAAUAAUGAAAUAGGACGUUUGAUCCUAUUUUGUUGGUUUCUAGGAUUGACGUA
rnacentral:rRNA from 1 species